UUUUUCUAUUGGCUGAGUAGACAAUGUGAGAAACCGCUAUGAUUUUUAGAGGAAAGCAAGGAAAACCCGAUGAUAGAAGUAGCUCUUAUGGCUAGAGAUUGUAGGUUUAUGACUGAUCCUAUUUGGGAAGAACAAUGAUGGCAUGCAUUCGAGCUUCAUUUAUGUACUUGUGGCUGCAGCUGGACUGGGUGAGCAGAGGAGAGAGUGUGGGGCUGCAUCUUCCUACCGUGAGUGUUCAGGAGGGAGACAACUCUGUUAUCAACUGCACUUAUUCAGACAGUGCCUCAGACUACUUCCUUUGGUACAAGCAAGAAUCUGGAAAAGCUACUGAACCUGGAGACUCAGCUGUCUACUUCUGUGCAGAGAAUACACAUUGCUUCCCAGGCACCUGGAAAAUGUGA